rnacentral:precursor_RNA from 1 species
GUAGACAGGAGAAGACUCUGCCCCAUCUCCACCUGGACCCAGCGUAGACAAAGAGGUGUUUCUACUCCAUAUCUACCUGGACCCAGUGUAGAUGGGAGGAGACCCUGCCCCACCUCCAC